rnacentral:rRNA from 1 species
UACAGAGGGUGCAAGCGUUGUUCGGAAUUAUUGGGCGUAAAGGGCGCGUAGGCGGUGCUGUAAGUCUGUAGUGAAAUCUCUGGGCUCAACUCAGAGUCUGCUAUAGAAACUGCAGUGCUGGAGUGUGGGAGAGGUGAGUGGAAUUCCCGGUGUAGCGGUGAAAUGCGUAGAUAUCAGGAGGAACACCUGUGGCGAAAGCGGCUCACUGGACCAUAACUGACGCUGAGGCACGAAAGCGUGGGUAGCAAACAGG